GACGAACCGUGCGAACGUUAUUCGGAAUCACUGGGCUUAAAGCGCGUGUAGGCGGGCCGGCACGUCGGCGGCUGAAAUCCCCCGGCUCAACCGGGGAAGUGGCCUCGAUACGACCGGCCUGGAGGGGGGUAGGGGGCGCCGGAACUUCCGGUGGAGCGGUGAAAUGCGUUGAGAUCGGAAGGAACGCCCGUGGCGAAAGCGGGCGCCUGGACCCCACCUGACGCUGAGACGCGAAAGCGUGGGGAGCAAACAGG
rnacentral:rRNA from 1 species